UAAAAAUAUGGUCAAAGUAAUAAGAGUCUAUGGUGAAGCCUAGGA
rnacentral:rRNA from 1 species